GGGGUCGCGCCCCCCAAGCCCCGCGUUCCGGAGUGGCUUGAGUUGAGAUACCAUGUCAGGGACAUGAUGCUGUUGUGAGAUUGGUACUAUGGACUACGGCUUGCAUGCCAUUGUGCGCGUUCGCACACGCUUGCGGGGUCGCUCCCCCCCAAGCCAGCACUCCCGAACAGCUUAGCGACAGAUGCUCGCAAAUGUACGAAGUGAGCGCCGAAAUGGAAUGCCGUGGGGGAGGCUCAUUCCUCGAGUGGGGAUGUUGACUACCACGGGGCCAUUAGGCACGGCGCGGCUUGAACUUAC
rnacentral:lncRNA from 1 species